GGACAUUAUUUUAAGUUCGGUGAUGUCCCAGUCCUCAUUUUUCCUAGACAUAAGAACGAAAUGUAUUUUACCGAAGAUAUUCCCAACAGCCGGCGCUAAGAAAGUCCGAGGUGAAGGAUCUAAUCCAAUCUGGAUGGAAGCUUAUGACAACGAGUUGUUAAAGCAGGAGCGAGAUAGAUUAAGGCAACUUUACUGAUGAUUACAGUUGUAUUGUUCCCGUUUCUAAACAUGUGAAGAAUCACUUACACAUCCGAGGCUGGUUCAGUAGUCUCAAAUCUUUUUGUCCCUAACUCUUCUCCCAUUGGCCAGUUUUUAAACCAAAACGAUCAAAUCCUGAUUUCAAAAUCCGCGGUCUUCUUCAAAUGGCCGACAAAACAGUUCGUCCAACCACCAAGAAUAUUGUCAUCGCUCCGCUCUCAGAUUCUUGUUCGCAUCAAGAGUCGUUUUCAUCAAAUAACUGUGAAGAACAGAAUGAAUUCCACAAUUUAAAACUGUAACAAUGGUAACAACUCUGUGUUAAAGCAUGUCUCUAUAAUUACGCCUACUUUUGAAACGUCAGAGCUGUAACAUCUAAAAACACCCUUACUUUUACCUUAUAAAAAACAUUUUGAACAGAUCAUGUGAGACAAAUAUUCUAUCCGUAAAAUGUAAAUUAUUUAAAUGUUAAUUUAAACACUAUUUAAACUCGUAUAAGUAUAAUGGUAAAAAUCAAUUUCAGUGUAUUGGUAUUCAAUCAGAUGUAGACAUAAAUCAUAUAGAGAUAUUAAACAAUACCAUAUCUGUGGCAUCCUAUUCUUUAUUUGCUUACCUUUGAUCUAUUGGCCUGUUAAUGCUUUUUUUCCUCAAAAAAUUGUAUAAUUACAUCUUAUUUUUAUUUGAUACGUUGAUUAAAUCUAUUAUUAGCCUUCGUAAGAUUUCGAUUAAAAUUACUUUUUAUAGAGGGCGCUGUGGCUCUAAACAGAUCUUUCUCAUUAAUCAUGGGAAAAAGUUCUUUGUGUCUAUGAGUGUUUAUUUGUUUUGUUGAGAUGUAGUAAACCAAAUAAACGACAUAUUGGAUAUUCUAUG